AGUAACACGUGGAUAACCUACCUAUAAGACUGGGAUAACUUCGGGAAACCGGAGCUAAUACCGGAUAAUAUUUUGAACCGCAUGGUUCAAAAGUGAAAGACGGUCUUGCUGUCACUUAUAGAUGGAUCCGCGCUGCAUUAGCUAGUUGGUAAGGUAACGGCUUACCAAGGCAACGAUGCAUAGCCGACCUGAGAGGGUGAUCGGCCACACUGGAACUGAGACACGGUCCAGACUCCUACGGGAGGCAGCAGUAGGGAAUCUUCCGCAAUGGGCGAAAGCCUGACGGAGCAACGCCGCGUGAGUGAUGAAGGUCUUCGGAUCGUAAAACUCUGUUAUUAGGGAAGAACAUAUGUGUAAGUAACUGUGCACAUCUUGACGGUACCUAAUCAGAAAGCCACGGCUAACUACGUGCCAGCAGCCGCGGUAAUACGUAGGUGGCAAGCGUUAUCCGGAAUUAUUGGGGCGUAAAGCGCGCGUAGG
rnacentral:rRNA from 1 species